rnacentral:rRNA from 1 species
GAUGAACGCUGGCGGCGUGCUUAACACAUGCAAGUCGAACGGAAAGGCUCCUGCUUGCAGGGGUACUCGAGUGGCGAACGGGUGAGUAACACGUGGGUGAUCUGCCCUGCACUUCGGGAUAAGCCGGGGAAACUGGGUCUACUACCGGCGAGGACGAUGGUUUGGAUGCCAUUGUGGAAAGCUGUGUCGGUGUGGGAUGCGCGCGCGGCCUAUCAGCUUGUUGGUGGGGUAAUGGCCUACCAAGGCGUCGACGGGUAGCCGGCCUGAGGGGGUGGACGGCGACCAUGGGCCUGAGGGACGGCGCAGACGCCUACGGGAGGCAGCGGGGGGGAGUAUGGCACAAUGGGGGCAAGCCUGUUGCAGCGGCGCCGGGUGUGGGAUGACGGCCUUCGGGUUGUAAACUCCUGUCGCUAGGGACGAAGCGCAAGUGACGGUACCUGGAGAAGAAGCACCGGCUAACUACGUG